rnacentral:rRNA from 1 species
UGGGGAAUAUUGCGCAAUGGGGGAAACCCUGACGCAGCGACGCCGCGUGCGGGAUGAAGGCCUUCGGGUUGUAAACCGCUUUUGAUUGGGAGCAAGCUUUCGGGUGAGUGUACCUUUCGAAUAAGCGCCGGCUAACUACGUGCCAGCAGCCGCGGUAAUACGUAGGGCGCAAGCGUUAUCCGGAAUUAUUGGGCGUAAAGAGCUUGUAGGCGGUUCGUCGCGUCUGGUGUGAAAGCCCAUCGCUUAACGGUGGGUUUGCGCCGGGUACGGGCGGGCUAGAGUGCAGUAGGGGAGACUGGAAUUCCCGGUGUAACGGUGAAAUGCGUAGAUAUAUGGAGGAACACCGGUGGCGAAAGCGGCUCUCUGGUCUGUAACUGACGCUGAGGCUCGAAAGCGUGGGGAGCGAACAGG